CUUGAUGACAGCAAAAGAUCUGA
rnacentral:piRNA from 1 species